rnacentral:rRNA from 1 species
GCCUAAAACUCAAAAGACUUGACGGUGUCCCAACCUACCUAGAGGAGCCUGUUCCAUAAUCGAUAAUCCACGAUCAACCCUACCACCCAUCGAGCCUAUAUACCGCCGUCACCAGCUUACCUUUCAAAAGUGAGCAUAAUAGUAUUUUACUAACACGUCAGGUCAAGGUGUAGCUUAUGGGGUGGCGCCAAUGGGCUACAUUAUCUAAUAUAGAGACAAAAUUAUAUAAAGGCGGAUUUAGCAGUAAAUUAAGCAAGAAUACUUAACUUAACACAUGCCCUGGGACAUGUACACACCGCCCGUC